CGACUGYUGCUGCCUUCCCUCAGAGGCAGAGACACUCUCAGUAUGGAAGGACCUGUUAAGAGACUGAGCAAAACCAUUGCUACAGAAUGCAAACAACUGCAUCUUCUCCCUGAUGGCAUUACUGGGAAAAUGCAAAAGAGAAACACCAAAAUCUAGGAUUUACUGCAGUUACACCAGGAACAAGGAAUAUUCCUUAUCUUAGAUUAUAAAGACAAACCAUAUAUGGGGAGAGACAGUUGUCGUGUCCUUUUGGAAGGAUCAUGCCCUCCUGUGGCAYGAAAGUGCUUCUAUGGCUGCAGAGAGGUGAAAUACAAUACAAACGUUUCUGCUGUGCCCAUGAGAUCCUGCUGCCUGGAGAUCAUGUCGGGCCCAGUUU